ACACACCUCCAGGCUGUGUAAGAGCUAUUUGACCAAGAAGGAGAGUGAUGGAGUGCUGCAUCAUAUGACUUGGCCUCCACAAUCACCUGACCUCAACCCAUCUGAGAUGGUUUGGCAUGCGUUGGACCGUGGUGUGAAGGAAAAGCAGCCAACAAGUGCUCAGCAUAUGUGGGAACUCCUUCAAGACUGUUGGAAAAGCAUUCCAGCGGAAAGGACUAACGAGGUGAUUGUUGGAACUGACCAGCUGAUGGAGAUCUAGACCAGGGGGAGACUGACCGAACGACCAGUCCUACACAUUGCUGGUCCACAGUGAUGGUCCAUUGUCUAAAUAAAAGCAACUUUGUUUA